GGGCGAAAGCCUGAUCCAGCAAUGCCGCGUGUGGGAAGAAGGCCUUCGGGUUGUAAACCACUUUUGUACGGAACGAAAAGGUCUGCCCUAAUACGGUGGGCCCAUGACGGUACCGUAAGAAUAAGCACCGGCUAACUACGUGCCAGCAGCCGCGGUAAUACGUAGGGUGCGAGCGUUAAUCGGAAUUACUGGGCGUAAAGCGUGCGCAGGCGGUUAUAUAAGACAGUUGUGAAAUCCCCGGGCUCAACCUGGGAAUUGCAUCUGUGACUGUAUAGCUAGAGUACGGUAGAGGGGGAUGGAAUUCCGCGUGUAGCAGUGAAAUGCGUAGAUAUGCGGAGGAACACCGAUGGCGAAGGCAAUCCCCUGGACCUGUACUGACGCUCAUGCACGAAAGCGUGGGGAGCAAACAGGAUUAGAUACCCUGGUAGUCCACGCCCUAAACGAUGUCAACUGGUUGUUGGGUGCAUUAGUACUCAGUAACG
rnacentral:rRNA from 1 species